GCUGGGCAGGGUGGCACAUGCGUGGCGCAUGCCUGUAGUCCCAGCUACUCAGGAGGCUGAGGUGGGAGGUUCGCUCGAGCCCAGGAGUUCUGGGCUGUAGUAUGCCGAUCAGGUGUCCACACUAAGCUCGGCAUCAAUAUGGUGACCUCCCGGGAGUGGGGGACCACCACCAGGUUGCCUAAGGAGGGGUGAACUCGCCCAGGUUGGAAACGGAGCAGGUCAAAACUCCAGUGCUGAUCAGUAGUGGGAUAGCCACUGCCCUCCAGCCCGGGCAACAUAGCAAGACCCCAUUUCU
rnacentral:SRP_RNA from 1 species